rnacentral:piRNA from 1 species
GAUGUGUACUUUAAAUGAGGCUCAACU